UACGUAGGGAGCAAGCGUUGUCCGGAUUCACUGGGUGUAAAGGGUGCGCAGGCGGGAGAGUAAGUCAGAGGUGAAAUCUCACAGCUUAACUGUGAAACUGCCUUUGAUACUGCUUUUCUUGAGUUCGGGAGAGGUUGAUGGAAUUCCAGGUGUAGCGGUGAAAUGCGUAGAUAUCUGGAGGAACACCGAUGGCGAAGGCAGGUCUCUGGGCUGACACUGACGCUCAUGCACGAAAGCGUGGGGAGCAAACAGG
rnacentral:rRNA from 1 species